UACGGAAGGCAGCAGUGGGGAAUAUUGCACAAUGGGCGAAAGCCUGAUGCAGCUAUGCCGCGUGUAUGAAGAAGGCCUUAGGGUUGUAAAGUACUUUCAUCGGGGAGGAAAAAACAAAACUAAUAAUUUUAUUUCUUGACGUUACCCGAAAAAGAAGCACCGGCUAACUCCGUGCCAGCAGCCGCGGUAAUACGGAGGGUGCUAGCGUUAAUCAGAAUUACUGGGCGUAAAGAGCACGUAGGUGGUUUUUUUAAGUCAGAUGUGAAAUCCCUGGGCUUAGCCUAGGAACUGCAUUUUGAAACUGAAAUACUAGAGUAUCGUAGAGGGAGGUAGAAUUCUAGGUGUAGCGGUGAAAUGCGUAGAUAUCUGGAGGAAUACCUGUGGCGAAAGCGGCCUCCUAAACGAAUACUGACACUGAGGUGCGAAAGCGUGGGGAGCAAACAGGGAUUAGAUACC
rnacentral:rRNA from 1 species